rnacentral:misc_RNA from 1 species
AACGCACGAGACCUGCGGACCUGCGGAAGGAUCAUUAACGAGUUUUGACAAUUAGUCAAAAUCUCCCACCCUUUGUUUAUUUGAACUUGUUACUUUGGCGUUUCGAUUUUUUUCAAAAUGAAAAAAGCCAUUGACUUUUUUAUUAAAGUGAAUGUGUAUUCGCCAAAGAUUUUUUCUUUAACGCUUAAUUGUUUUUUAUAUCUGAGUUUUAUACCAAAAAAAAAGUAAAAACUUUCAACA